rnacentral:rRNA from 1 species
CCUACGGGUGGCUGCAGUGGGGGAUAUUGCACAAUGGGGGGAACCCUGAUGCAGCGACGCCGCGUGGGUGAAGGAGUAUUUCGGUAUGUAAAGCCCUAUCGGCAGGGAAGAACAAGGACGGUACCUGACUAAGAAGCACCGGCUAACUACGUGCCAGCAGCCGCGGUAAUACGUAGGGUGCAAGCGUUAUCCGGAUUUACUGGGUGUAAAGGGAGCGCAGGCGGCCCGUUAAGCCUGGUGUGAAAGCCCGCGGCCCAACCGCGGGACUGCAGUGGGAACUGGCGGGCUGGAGUGCGGGAGGGGUAGGCGGAAUUCCUAGUGUAGCGGUGAAAUGCGUAGAUAUUAGGAGGAACACCAGCGGCGAAGGCGGCCUACUGGACGGUGACUGACGUUGAGGCUCGAAAGCGUGGGGAGCAAACAGGAUUAGAUACCCUAGUAGUC